UACAGAGGUCUCAAGCGUUGCUCGGAUUCAUUGGGCGUAAAGGGUGUGUAGGUGGCGCCGUAAGUCGGGUGUGAAAUUUCGGAGCUUAACUCCGAAACUGCAUUCGAUACUGCCGUGCUUGAGGACUGGAGAGGAGACUGGAAUUCAUGGUGUAGCAGUGAAAUGCGUAGAGAUCAUGAGGAAGACCAGUGGCGAAGGCGGGUCUCUGGACAGUUCCUGACACUGAGGCACGAAGGCCAGGGGAGCAAACGGG
rnacentral:rRNA from 1 species